GAUGAACGCUGGCUGCGUGCUUAACACAUGCAAGUCGAACGGUGAAUCAGGAGCUUGCCGUUGUGGAUCAGUAGCGAACGGGUGAGUAACACGUGAGCAACCUGCCCCAGACUCUGGGAUAAGCGCUGGAAACGCCGUCUAAUACUGGAUAUGUGAUUUGACCGCAUGGUCUGCGUCUGGAGCGCAAUUCGGUUGGGGAUGGGCUCGCGGCCUAUCAGCCUGUUGGUGAGGUAAUGGCUCACAAAGGCGUCGACGGGGACCCGUCUUGAGAGGGUGACCGGCCACACUGGGACUGAGACACGGCACAGACUCCUACGGGAGGGAGGAGUGGGGAAUAUUGCACAAUGGGCGGAAGCCUGAUGCAGCAACGCCGCGUGAGGGAUGACGGCCUUCGGGUUGUAAACCUCUUUUAGCAGGGAAGAAGCGAAAGUGACGGUACCUGCAGAAAAAGCACCGGCUAACUACGUGCCAGCCGCCGCCGUAA
rnacentral:rRNA from 1 species